CUACGGGUGGCAGCAGUGGGGAAUAUUGCACAAUGGACGAAAGUCUGAUGCAGCAACGCCGCGUGGAGGAUGACACAUUUCGGUGCGUAAACUCCUUUUAUAUAGGAAGAUAAUGACGGUACUAUAUGAAUAAGCACCGGCUAACUCCGUGCCAGCAGCCGCGGUAAUACGGAGGGUGCAAGCGUUACUCGGAAUCACUGGGCGUAAAGAGCGUGUAGGCGGGUAUAUAAGUCAGAAGUGAAAUCCAAUAGCUUAACUAUUGAACUGCUUUUGAAACUGUAUACCUAGAAUGUGGGAGAGGUAGAUGGAAUUUCUGGUGUAGGGGUAAAAUCCGUAGAGAUCAGAAGGAAUACCGAUUGCGAAGGCGAUCUACUGGAACAUUAUUGACGCUGAGACGCGAAAGCGUGGGGAGCAAACAGGAUUAGAUACCCCAGUAGUC
rnacentral:rRNA from 1 species